rnacentral:tRNA from 1 species
GUCUCUGUGGCACAAUGGGUCAGCGCGUUCGGCUGUUAACCGAAAGGAUGGUGGUUCGAGCCCACCCAGGGACG